GUGCUCAUGUUAACAGCACAUUUAUUAAAAUUGAAAUGAUACAGAGGAGAUUAGCAUGGCCCCUAUACAAGGAUGACAUGCAAGUUCAUGAAGUGUUCCGUAUUAAA
rnacentral:snRNA from 1 species